rnacentral:lncRNA from 1 species
CGGCGACGGGACGCCAGAUCGGAGCGUGUAUGCGAUGGAUUGGCGCUAUUAUUUUAUUUCCUUGUUGCGCCGCCGCCGUGUGUGAUUGAUUGGUUGCUUUCGCUGCCGCAGCCAUGGGAGACGUACACCGCGGACACGUCGAUCGAUCUGACCAAGCACCACGUGCCCAACACGAUGCUCGACAAGAUCGCCUACUACACCGUCAAGUCCCUGCGCUUCCCCACCGACAUCUUCUUCCAGGUACGCGCGCCUCCCCCCUCCCCUCCCCUAGUCCCCUCGCCGGCCGCCACAACCGCCGGAUAGUUCGUUCCGUGUGUUUUUAGUCCAACCCGUUUCGCCGAAGACAGCACGAACGGCGGUGUCUGCAUCUUUGCGUGUCAUGGCCUCCUGACUGACGGAAGUAGCAUGGUCCCUAUCACGCUUUUGAUUCUGUUUUCCCCCUGCUUUCCGGGGAGACGGCGUUUGGACUUUCUAUUUAGAACGCGGACCCAAGCGGUCAAGCGGAGUAUUUUUACCUAAUCGUUCGUGGAGAUGGGUGUUUUAUAUUCAGUUUUGCAUCAGAUUACUGUGGAUAAUCGUACUGACAUUUCCGUGCUGAUUAUUUCUAUCUGGAUACAAGUAGGCGACAGUGGAUAGAUGUAUCCACAGAUUAUUUACUGUCAGCAAACAUUACGAAUUGAAAACACAAAUAACAUGGUGACCUUGACAUGACCUUAACAUAGGAUAUUUUAUAUUGUUGUAAAGCACCAGAGAGGAUUCCAUUUGUUUUGCCAUGUACUGUACUUUAUUAAAGCAUCUGUUUAUCAUGAUUUUUGCACAAGUUGUAUCAUCUUGAUCUCCUCUCUGUGUUUCGAAGUUUAUCAUGUUCUAAAGCCGAUCCUUCAAAUUGGUUGCAGAGGAGGUAUGGCUGCCGCGCAAUGAUGCUGGAGACUGUUGCCGCAGUGCCGGGGAUGGUGGGCGGCAUGCUCCUCCACCUGCGCUCGCUCCGGCGCUUUGAGCAGAGCGGUGGUUGGAUCCGCGCGCUGCUGGAGGAGGCCGAGAACGAGCGCAUGCACCUCAUGACCUUCAUGGAGGUGGCGCAGCCGAGGUGGUACGAGCGCGCCCUCGUCAUCGCCGUCCAGGGCGUCUUCUUCAACGCCUACUUCUUCGGCUACCUCAUCUCGCCCAAGUUCGCGCACCGCGUCGUCGGGUACCUCGAGGAGGAAGCCGUCCACUCCUACACCGAGUUCCUCAAGGACCUUGACGACGGCAAGAUCGACAACGUCCCCGCCCCGGCCAUCGCCAUCGACUACUGGCGCCUCCCUGCCAACGCCACCCUCAAGGACGUGGUCACCGUGGUGCGCGCCGACGAGGCUCACCACCGCGACGUCAACCACUUCGCAUCGGUACGCAUCCUUCCAAAUCCCACAAGAUCAGCAAGGCAAUCUUGACCCCAUUUCCUGCCCAGCCCAUGUGCAUCUGUUUAUGUGGAUUGGUUCGGAACUUCUGAUGAUGUAUAUGCUGAUUUGGUCUGUUGCAUGUGCCG